rnacentral:rRNA from 1 species
UACAGAGGGUGCGAGCGUUAAUCGGAUUUACUGGGCGUAAAGCGCGCGUAGGCGGCUAAUUAAGUCGGAUGUGAAAUCCCCGGGCUCAACCUGGGAAUUGCAUUCGAUACUGGUUAGCUAGAGUAUGGGAGAGGAAGGUAGAAUUCCAGGUGUAGCGGUGAAAUGCGUAGAGAUCUGGAGGAAUACCGAUGGCGAAGGCAGCCUUCUGGCCUAAUACUGACGCUGAGGUGCGAAAGCAUGGGGAGCAAACAGG